CGUGAAAUUGUUGAAAGGGAAGCGCUCAUGACCAGACUUGGGCUUGGUUGAUCAUCCAGGGUUCUCCCUGGUGCACUCUUCCAGCCCAGGCCAGCAUCAGUUCGCUGUGGGGGAUAAAGGCUUUGGGAAUGUGGCUCCUCCGGGAGUGUUAUAGCCCAUUGUGUAAUACCCUGUGGUGGACUGAGGUUCGCGCAUCUGCAAGGAUGCUGGCGUAAUGGUCAUCAGCGGCCCGUCUUGAAACACGG
rnacentral:rRNA from 1 species